rfam:Heligmosomoides polygyrus genome assembly, scaffold: HPBE_scaffold0000191
GCGCCGGUGGUGUAAUGGCGUAGAGCAUUCCCGGCCGGUUUGAGGGAGGUGCGGGUUCGAGUCUCGCCUGGCGCU